CCUACGGGUGGCAGCAGUGAGGAAUAUUGGUCAAUGGGCGCUAGCCUGAACCAGCCAAGUAGCGUGAAGGAUGACUGCCCUAUGGGUUGUAAACUUCUUUUAUAUGGGAAUAAAAUGUUCCACGUGUGGGAUUUUGUAUGUACCAUAUGAAUAAGGAUCGGCUAACUCCGUGCCAGCAGCCGCGGUAAUACGGAGGAUCCGAGCGUUAUCCGGAUUUAUUGGGUUUAUAGGGAGCAUAGGUGGAUUGUUAAUUCAGGUGUGAAAGUUUGCGGCUCAACCGUAAAAUUGCAGUUGAAACUGGCAGUCUUGAGUACAGUAGAGGUGGGCGGAAUGCGUGGUGUAGCGGUGAAAUGCUUAGAUAUCACGAAGAACUCCGAUUGCGAAGGCAGCUCACUGGACUGCAACUGACACUGAGGCUCGAAAGUGUGGGUAUCAAACAGGAUUAGAUACCCGGGUAGUC
rnacentral:rRNA from 1 species